rnacentral:rRNA from 1 species
CUAACGGCUGAACCAGCAACUUGGAGGAAUGUAUAGCAAUAGCUGAUUGCACCAACAAAUACUUGAUGCAAUAUUGACUCUGUCAAAUAAAAUUCUAGGUAGAACUAUGAUAAUGACAUCGUCUGCCUAUGUGUCUUGACCAAAUUACGUGCCAGCAGUCGCGGUAAUACGUAGAAGACUAGUGUUAUUCAUCUUUAAUAGGUUUAAAGGGUACCUAGACGGUAAAUCAAGCCUUCACAGGGACUAAUUUACUAGAGUUACUUACGAGGGGGUAUUAAAGUACUGCAGGUGUAGAGAUGAAAUUCUGUCAUACCUCAUUUCAAAAGAAAAAUUAUGGCACAGGUAUAGGUGAAAGCAUCCCCUUAUGUGAUAACUGACGUUGAAGGACGAAGGCUUUGUGUCGCGAACAGGAUUAGAUACCCCAGUAGUCAAAGCAGAAAAUGAUGAAUGUCAUAGAUUAGAUAAAUAGUUUAUUCUAUAAAUGAAAAUGUAAGCAUUCCACCUCAAGAGUAAUUUGGCAACAUUGGAACUGAAAUCAUUAGACCGUUUCUGAAACCAGUAGUGAAGUAUGUUGUUUAAUUUGAUGAUCCGCAAAAAACCUUACCACAAUUUGAAUAUUUAUAUCUAUCUUUUUUUUCGUAAAUAAAUAAAAAGGUAAUAUAUUUACAAGCGUUGCACGGCUGUCUUCAGUUAAUGUCGCGAGACUUUGGUUAGUUCCAUUAAAUUAACGUAAACCCUUACUUUAUUUUUAUAUGAAGUAGUUCCCCGCUAUAUUGGAUAUGAUAACAGGGACUAAGACAAGUCAUCAUGGCCUAAAU